UUUGUUUGAAUCAGGAUUCAAAUACUACCCAUACACCUAUGUGCGUACUACUUUUACUUCUAAAAGAAGAGAGCCCUGAAGCCAAUAGAGGCUAAAUCACUUGUUCAACAUCAAACAGCCCAAGUCUGGACCCAUCUCAAGAGGAGGCGAGACAAAGGUAAAGAAAUCGGGAAGUGAGAC